GACGAACGCUGGCGGCGUGCUUAACACAUGCAAGUCGAACGAUGAAGCCGGAGCUUGCUCUGGUGAAUUAGUGGCGAACGGGUGAGUAACACGUGAGUAACCUGCCCUUGACUCUGGGAUAACUGCGGGAAACUGUAGCUAAUACCGGAUACGACCCUCGGAGGCAUCUCCUGGGGGUGGAAAGAAUUUCGGUCAAGGAUGGACUCGCGGCCUAUCAGCUAGUUGGUGAGGGGAAGGCUCACCAAGGCGACGACGGGUAGCCGGCCUGAGAGGGUGACCGGCCACACAGGGGCGCAGGAACGGCCCAGGCGCCUACGGGAGGCAGCAGUGGGGAAUAUUGCACAAGGGGCGCAAGCCUGAUGCAGCAGCGCCUCGUGAGGGAUGACGGCUUUCGGGUUGUAAACCUCUUUUAGCAGGGAAGAAGCGAAAGUGACGGUACCUGCAGAAAAAGCACCGGCUAACUACGUGCCAGCCGCCGCCGUAA
rnacentral:rRNA from 1 species